CGGUGCCCGUGCAUCGCGGCCUCUGCCCGAACCGGCCCUGGCGUACUUCCCCAACGCCAGGUCCGUGCUCUCGGACAGGGACCCCGGUGCAGCGGGCACGCCGG
rfam:Mycobacterium sp. 852014-51730_SCH5271717 contig_49, whole genome shotgun sequence.